rnacentral:rRNA from 1 species
AUUGAACGCUGGCGGCAUGCCUUACACAUGCAAGUCGAACGGUAACAGGUUAAGCUGACGAGUGGCGAACGGGUGAGUAAUGUAUCGGAACGUGCCCAGUCGUGGGGGAUAACUGCUCGAAAGAGCAGCUAAUACCGCAUACGACCUGAGGGUGAAAGCGGGGGAUCGCAAGACCUCGCGCGAUUGGAGCGGCCGAUAUCAGAUUAGGUAGUUGGUGAGGUAAAGGCUCACCACGCCGACGAUCUGUAGCUGGUCUGAGAGGACGACCAGCCACACUGGGACUGAGACACGGCCCAGACUCCUAUGGGAGGCAGCAGUGGGGAAUUUUGGACAAUGGGCGCAAGCCUGAUCCAGCCAUGCCGCGUGCGGGAAGAAGGCCUUCGGGUUGUAAACCGCUUUUGUCAGGGAAGAAAAGGUUCUGGCUAAUACCUGGGACUCAUGACGGUACCUGAAGAAUAAGCACCGGCUAACUACGUG